rnacentral:rRNA from 1 species
ACUCCUACGGGAGGCAGCAGUGAGGAAUAUUGCGCAAUGGGCGAAAGCCUGACGCAGCGACGCCGCGUGGAGGAUGAAGGCCUUCGGGUCGUAAACUCCUGUCGAGGGGGACGAAAUGGUCCCUUGCAAAUAACAUGGGAUCUUGACGGUACCCCUGGAGGAAGCCCCGGCUAACUCCGUGCCAGCAGCCGCGGUAAUACGGAGGGGGCCAGCGUUGCUCGGAAUUACUGGGCGUAAAGGGCCUGUAGGCGGUUUGAUAAGUCCUGUGUGAAAUCCCUUGGCUUAACCAAGGAACUGCGCCGGAUACUGUCAGACUCGAGGCCGGGAGAGGGAAGCGGAAUUCCCAGUGUAGCGGUGAAAUGCGUAGAUAUUGGGAGGAACAUCGGUGGCGAAGGCGGCUUCCUGGACCGGUUCUGACGCUAAAGGGCGAAAGCUAGGGUAGCAAGCAGGAUUAGAUACCCUGGUAGUCCUAGCUGUAAACGAUGGGCG